rnacentral:rRNA from 1 species
UUAAGCUACAAAGGGCGUAGGGUGAAUGCCUUGGCAUCAAGAGCCGAUGAAGGACGUGAUAAGCUGCGAUAAGCUAUGGGUAGGAGCAAAUAUCCACUAAUCCAUAGAUCUCCGAAUGAGGAAACUCAACUAGUAACAAUAUACUAGUUAUCCAUACAUGAGUAAAGUAGUGUAUGAGAAGGGAACGUGGGGAACUGAAACAUCUUAGUACCCACAGGAAAAGAAAGAAAAUAUUCGAUUCCUAGAGUAGUGGCGAGCGAAAUAGGAAGAGCCCAAACUGUAAGUAGUAAUACAUACAGGGUUCGGACUGCAUAAUCGAUUUAAUGAGUUUAGUAGAAGUGUUUUGGAAAAGCACACCAUAGAUGGUGAAAGUCCAGUAUGCGAAAAGCGAGUUAACGAGGCAGUAUCCAGAGUAGCACGAGGCACGUGGAAUCUCGUGUGAAUGUGUGGGGACCAUCCCAUAAGGCUAAAUACUACUUGAUGACCGAUAGUGAACGAGUACCGUGAGGGAAAGGUGAAAAGAACCCCGGGAGGGGAGUGAAAUAGAAUUUGAAACCCUAUGUUUACAAGCAGACAAAGCACGUUAAGGUGCGAUGUCGUACUUUUUGUAGAACGGUCCAGCGAGUUAUUGUAUAUGGCAAGGUUAAAUACUAAGUAAGGUAUGGAGCCGAAGCGAAAGCGAGUGUUAAUAGCGCGUUUAAGUCAUAUGUAAUAGACCCGAAACCGAGUGACCUAUCCAUGGUCAGGAUGAAGCUAGAGUAAAAUCUAGUGGAGGUCCGAACUGAUUGUCGUUAAAAAGGCACCGGAUGAACUGUGGAUAGCGGAGAAAUUCCAAUCGAACUCGGAGAUAGCUGGUUCUCCUCGAAAUAGCUUUAGGGCUAGCCUUGAGGUAAAGACGUAUGGGGGUAGAGCACUGAAUGAGCUAGGGGCCUAACCAGGUUACUGAACUCUAUCAAACUACGAAUACCAUAUUGUUAUACUCAGGAGUCAGACUGCGGGAGCUAAGUUCCGUGGUCAAAAGGGAAAGAGCCCAGAUCGUCAAUUAAGGUCCCAAAGAUAUAGCUAAGUGGAAAACGAUGUGAUUUUGCGUAAACAACCAGGAUGUUGGCUCAGAAGCAGCCACUCAUUCAAAGAGUGCGUAACAGCUCACUGGUCGAGUGAAAUUGCGCGGAAAAUUACCGGGGCUAAGCUAUACACCGAAAUUGCGGAUUCAAGGAUUUAUCCUUGAGUGGUAGAGGAGCAUUCUGUUGUAGGUUGAAGUAUGACCGUAAGGACAUGUGGACGAAGCAGAAGAGAGAAUGCUGGAAUAAGUAGCGAGAGCAAGGUGAGAAUCCUUGCCGUCGAAAGUCUAAGGUUUCCUGGGGAAGGUUCGUCCGCCCAGGGUUAGUCGGGACCUAAGGAGAGGCCGAGAGGCGUAUCUGAUGGACAGCAGGUUGAUAUUCCUGCACUAUAGAUAUACUUAAAAGAUGCAAGGGACGCAGAAGUGGAAGGAAUGCGAGGAAGAGGAAAAACUCGUAUCGAAAGAUAUAGUGAAAAUAAAGUAACGAAUUUCCAAGAAGCACGCUGACGAGAAAAGCUUGUAGAUAUUGUAUAUAAAUACCCGUACCGCAAACCGACACAGGUAGAUGAGGAGAGGAUCCUAAGACGAGCGGGAGAAGCAUUGUUAAGGAACUCGGCAAAUUGACCCCGUAACUUCGGAAUAAGGGGUGCCUAUGUAAAAGUAGGCCGCAGAGAAUAGGCCCAAGCAACUGUUUAACAAAAACACAGGUUUCUGCUAAAUCGAAAGAUGAAGUAUAGGAGCUGACGCCUGCCCAGUGCUGGAAGGUUAAGGGGAAGAGUUAAGACUUGAUCUGAAGCUUAGAACCAAAGCCCCAGUGAACGGCGGCCGUAACUAUAACGGUCCUAAGGUAGCGAAAUUCCUUGUCAGGUAAGUUCUGACCCGC